UACAUUGUGGUACGAUUAUCUGCUAAGAGACUAUCCCAAUCUAAUACUAACGGUGCGGAUUAAGUUUAAGGAGCUUUACGGACCUUGGGUAAUAGCAAGAUGUUAUAUUAACGUGACAGCGCCUGCUGUAAUUGCCGAUAUUUUAGGCGGCGAUUACAGAGAAGUAAGUGACAAAAGUAAGUGGUUGCAUCUUGAUGGCUCAAGGAGUCGUGAGCCGGCUGUAAGUUUGCAUGCCCCUCAGCAGCUAACGUAUAGUUGGUUCUUAAGCUCUGAAGACGGAAAUGACAAGACAACCCUUAGUUUCGAAAGUUCUAGUUCGACGAUUCAACUUCCGACUAAAAGUCUUAAGACAGACUCAACAAACAUUAUCACUUUGACGGUAAUCAAUAAAUUUAUAAGGAGCCGCAGCCAUACUACCACCCAAGUUGUUCGGCUAGUCAGUGAAACAGAACCGAUCUGGGUAGAGAUUG